rnacentral:rRNA from 1 species
UGGGGAAUUUUGCACAAUGGGGGAAACCCUGAUGCAGCGACGCCGCGUGAUUUAGAAGGCCUUCGGGUUGUAAAAAUCUUUUCUCUGGGAAGAAAAUGACAGUACCAUAGGAAUAAGGACCGGCUAAUUACGUGCCAGCAGCCGCGGUAAUACGUAAGGUCCGAGCGUUGUCCGGAAUCAUUGGGCGUAAAGGGUACGUAGGCGGGUAAGCAAGUUAGAAGUGAAAUCCUAUAGCUCAACUAUAGUAAGCUUUUAAAACUGCUCAUCUUGAGGUAUGGAAGGGAAAGUGGAAUUCCUAGUGUAGCGGUGAAAUGCGCAGAUAUUAGGAGGAAUACCGGUGGCGAAGGCGACUUUCUGGCCAUAACCUGACGCUGGGGUACGAAAGCGUGGGUAGCAAACAGG